UUUCCUGUGGCUCAGUCAGUAGAACAUUGAGCUUGCAACACAAAGUUCAUGGGUUCAAACCCGAGGGAAAG